CGUGUAACUGUAUAUGUGAGAAAUAUUUUACAUUUUUUAAAAAACAUGUAUUAAAAUACUGUUUGUAUAUUUAAAAAGCUUUAUUUUGUUCUAUGAAAAAGGUUGUAAGUGAAAAAGGAAAAUUGUGUUUUUUUUAUUACAGGCAAAAUCAUGUCAUCUAAUACUUCUCAGGUAAACCAUAGAAGAUGAAUCUAUAGAUUUUGAUGACAGUGAUGAACUAUUUCAACCUGAAGAAUAUGAAGAAUUAGAUUCAAGCACAGAACCUGAGAUUCCAUGUGAGCUGAAUGGAGAAAGAAGGAAAAUAAUCAAUGAGAAAGAUGUUUGAGAUUUUUUUUUUUUAUGAGAAAGAAAGUACUGUGGUUACCACUAAAAACUUUGCUGAGGGGAGCAAUGUCAUAAUAGAAAGUGCUCGGGAGUGCUCAAGUAAGAAGAAAUGUGAGAGACUGAUGAAGAAAUGUCCAGAGUUGUAUUGUAAGACAAAGGUAGUUCAUUUGCCUCGCCACCUCAGAGUAGUCGAUAUUGGACAAUGAAAUAGCACAAUCAGCAGUACAGGCUUUUAAGUUAAGAAUGCCCUAUGCUUCAUCUAAAUCCCCUAACAUGAAAGCAAAAGAUUAUCGGUAUUUCCGACCAUGUCUCGUUGCAGGGUGCUUUUCUGUUGUUAAACGUUUACCUCUUCAUUUAAUAAAUGUUGAUAAAUAUGCCAAAGAUUCAGAGCAGUACAAAAUCCUGCUUCAUACUGCUAGCAGGAAAAGCAAGCAAAAUAAAAAGAACAUAAUGGUUAAGCCAGAUUUAAGCAGCAAUACCACAUUAGACAUGAAUGAUGAAAAUGCUGAACAUAAUAUAGUGGACUCUGUAGAACUUAUCAAUCAGGAUGAAACUGAAGAGCGUUUAAUGGAGGAAAAUGAAGAAAGUGGUGGCAUGAAAAAUGUAAAAUCAGCAAAACAAAAUAUUUUUUGGGUUAAGAGUAUUUUAGUAAAAAAAAUUCUUACCAGGAACAAUUAAGUCUUACCUAUCAAGAUUAAAACAUUGGUACCAUUAUUUGCUUUCUGAAGAAUGUACCAGCCUCUCAGAAGAUGAAAAGCAAAAAAUUAAUUAUUUGAAAGAUUGUGUAGCAGGCUGGAUCUGUUCUUAUAGAAAGGAAAGUGCAAAACAUGGCCUAGACAAAAUGGAUCAGGAUCUUCUAUACAUUAUUAUACCAGAAAAAAUGGAAGAUUUUGAAAAAACGUGAGCCAGCCACAACAGCUAUUAAACGUCUCGCUUGUAUAGCAAGUAACAAUAAAACACCUAUUGCACAGACAGAUUAUAUUUUAAUACGACACUUUCUUUUAACAGAAAUAGUAAUUGGCAAUGCUACUCGAUCUGGGGUGCUUGCCAAUAUGACAGUGGAUCAGCUCUCAAGUGCUCGCUGUAUAGAUAAUUAUUAUGUCAUUUCAGCAGCCAAACAUAAAACAGCAUCUACCCAGGGGCCAAAAAAAAUAUUCUUAGUCCUUCUUUGUUUAGUUGGCUAUCAAUUUUUUCUAAAAAUGUUUGUCCACAUGUUAUUAGGGAAAAUAAUAAUGACAGCAGUUAUUUAUUAGCAAAUUAUUUAUUUCUAAGUUGGACAGGUGAAUGUUUACAGAGUGGACAAAUAUCACAAGCUGUUCGCUCAGUUUGGAAGAAAGUUGUGCUUGAUGAGCAGAUAACUUGCAAAUUGUUCAGGAAAACUGCAGUGUCACACUCCAUCAGACACACCCUGAUUUGAAUGUAAACUUGGCAGACUUAAUGUGUCAGAAGGUAGAAACAGCAAAUAGGCGCUACAGGCUGGUGCAGAGAGAACAAACAGCUAUCUAAUGUAAUGAUAGGGCAAAAGGCCGCAAAGGAUCUUGGAGAACCCGAAUCUGCUGCUCUUUCUGUUUCACAAGAGAGUUAAAAACUACAGAAUCAGCAACAAAAUUUACUUGGAAUGAAGAGCUUCUAAAAUACAUUGACAGUCUAUUUGAACGUGAUCUUACCGGUAAUUUAAAGAAUAUAACUUGAGAUGUGGUAAAGGAAUAAAAUUGAAAGUAUUCCCAAAUUAAAAAGUAUAUAACAGGUUAAGGACAGAGUUGUGCUUUUCAGGUGACUGUGACAAGGAAAGUUGAAAUGCACAGGAGAAUUCAAGUCUUCCCUUUGAAACAGAAAGUGUAAAUGAUAAAGUUAACAGACUCUUAGAGAGCCAAAUGACUGCUUCUGAUGUGACACCAUUAUUGGUAAAAGCAAUACAGUGAAGUAGAUUUUUAGCUCCUCUGAAACUAACUUUAUAAAAGACAGAUGCAAAAGCAUAAUUACUUCGGGGCCUAUUUCUCAACAGCGGGUCCAAAAAGCAUUGCAGUACUGCCAUAAAGGUUUAGAAAUCUUAAGAAAAUUUUAAUGUAAAUUAAAAUUUUAACUAGGAUAAAGUAUGAGUGCCGUAAACAUGGAACUAAAUAGUGAUUUUAAAAAAUAAAUGUAGUUUUUUUUUUAAAACAAUUUUAACUUAAAUACUUUUCAAAAAUGCUAAUUAGUUUUAUUAUAAAUGUCAAAGUAUAAAAAAUUAAAGCCCACAUUUUCCAGUGAAAAUAAAGUUGUUUUCAGUUAGUCACUGAAUGUUAUUAAUAUGGGAUUAAGAGAUAGAUUUUCGUUUGUUGUAAUUUGUACUUGUACUAUGGUACUGUGAAGUUGUAAUUGGCAUAAAAUAAAGGUGUUGUGUAUGUGUUCCAUUUUUCAAGGUACAGUAUGUAAUAAUAAGUAAACCUUUAUUACUGUUAAGGUGAUCCAGAGCACUACAGUUACACUAAAUUUUAAUUAAUGUUAUAGUAUAUUUAAAUUUAACUUAAUUUAUAUAUUAUGGUCUGUCAAGAUGUUGUAAAUGGUAAAAUCUCAUUCAUUAAAAAGCCACAGCUGUAUUUUUCUGAAGGUAUUGAAAUUUGAAAUUGUUCAUUUAAUAAAUAUUUUUCUUCUAUAAAUG